CAUACAGAGUAUUCCCCAGAGGAACUUGUGUCUACCUCUCCUUCACUGCCGCAUGCCUGCCCAGGGUUCUCCAAUACAGUGAGUAACCCUCGAUUGCCCAUAACCGUGACCUCACAAUUGCAAUACCCUGUAGGUCUGGCGUGUUGCAUUGAUCCCCGAAAAAACCUUGUUCUAUCAGGAC